rnacentral:rRNA from 1 species
UACGGAGGGUGCAAGCGUUAUCCGGAUUCACUGGGUUUAAAGGGUGCGUAGGUGGCUUUGUAAGUCAGUGGUGAAAUCUUAGAGCUUAACUCUAAAACUGCCAUUGAUACUGCUUAGCUUGAAUCAAGUAGAGGUGGGAUGGAAUAUUACAUGUAGCGGUGAAAUGCUUAGAUAUGUAAUAGAACACCGAUUGCGAAGGCAGUUCACUAUGCUUGUAUUGACACUGAGGCACGAAAGCGUGGGGAUCAAACAGG